UAAAAUUAAAUAGGUAUCUUUACUACAGGACUUUUCUGAGCAUUUAAUAUGCUAAUGUGCAUGAUUAUGGCUUGGAGCCUCAAAUCACUUUGUGAUUCAAGAUGGCAACUGGAAGAAAGAGGAGAUAACAAAAAGGGCCACCAGACCCCAGGUAGAACUCUGCUCACAUUCCUCCUUCCAAGCUACACCUAAGCCUAGGCCUAGGCCUCUGAUGGAGUUUCACCAAGCAACGAGCAUGGAAAGGAGUGCAACUAGUUUGCAAACCUUUAUGAUGUGGAUGAGGCAUGAUUCGGACAACAAACACAGGAAGACAACCUCUCAUGGGAAAGGCCAUCCUUAGCCUGAUGUCCAAGACAAUAGAGAAAAUCAAGAGACCCAGUCUGGUAUAUGCAGAGAGACAUGAGACCCUGACUGCCUUACCAACAGUUGACAAGGGACCCAAAGUGACACCAAGUCUGAGCACACCAUUGGAGAACCUAGGAAGCUCUACCCUAAAGAACUUUCAGACAUGUGCACAAGAAGACCUGUCCCUCCAAUCCCAAAGGGGUCAGAAACUGCAAUUAGCAAGCUGGAGGAGGAGGAGGAGGAGGAAGAGGCACAGAAGCAGGAGGUGGGG
rnacentral:lncRNA from 1 species